ensembl:snRNA U6 U6 spliceosomal RNA
GUGCUUGCUUUGGCAGCACAAACACUAAAAUUGGAACCGUGCAGAGAUUAGCACAUGGCCCCUGUACAGAUGACACACAAAUUCAUGAAGCAUAAGAAAGAAAA